rnacentral:rRNA from 1 species
UGGGGAAUAUUGCACAAUGGGCGCAAGCCUGAUGCAGCCAUGCCGCGUGUGUGAAGAAGGCCUUCGGGUUGUAAAGCACUUUCAGCGAGGAGGAAGUGGUGAACUUAAUACGUCAUCAAUUGACGUUACUCGCAGAAGAAGCACCGGCUAACUCCGUGCCAGCAGCCGCGGUAAUACGGAGGGUGCAAGCGUUAAUCGGAAUUACUGGGCGUAAAAGCGCACGCAGGCGGUUUGUUAAGUCAGAUGUGAAAAUCCCCGGGCUCAACCUGGGAACUGCAUUUGAAAACUGGCAAGCUAGAGUCUCGUAGAGGGGGGUAGAAUUCCAGGUGUAGCGGUGAAAUGCGUAGAGAUCUGGAGGAAUACCGGUGGCGAAGGCGGCCCCCUGGACGAAGACUGACGCUCAGGUGCGAAAAGCGUGGGGAGCAAAACAGGAUUAGAUACCCUGGUAGUCCACGCUGUAAAACGAUGUCGAUUUUGGAGGUUGUGCCCUUGAGGCGUGGCUUCCGGAGCUAACGCGUUAAAUCGACCGCCUGGGGAGUACGGCCGCAAGGUUAAAAAC